UUUAACGGAGAGUUUGAUCCUGGCUCAGGACGAACGCUGGCGGCGUGCCUAAUACAUGCAAGUCGAGCGGAGUUUCA
rnacentral:rRNA from 1 species